UUAAAAUCUGACAUAAAUAGGAAUAAAUAGUUGAUUAAAAGUCUGUUGACAAGAAAAUAGUGUCGCUGUUCCUUUAAGAGCGUUACAGGCGUGGUGCCUGGGUGACGCUGCAGUACGCAGACCUGAGGGAGAGAGCAGAGGAGGAGUCGGAGGAAAUAGAGCGGUGAUUAAUUAGCAGAAAAAGUUAGUAUUAUACUGAAACAAAAACAUAAUUUACCUGGUCGGGAACUGACGGGGAUUUUAUGAGAACCAAGUUACAUCGGUUUUGGUCAGGUUUUUUUGUCGGUCGGAGCGAGGAUUGGUCUGCCUUGUGCGGGCGUGCACAUUCACAGACGGGAUUCAAGAUGGCGAGCCAGACCUAGACAUUCUAUUCAUCUUCUCCAUUGCAUCAGGGAGGGAUUCUCCCGCGUGUGGUGAUCCGCUGCCGGAGCGGAACUUUUGCUGAAUCAUAUUUUUGAUAGACUCCGUGAUCGUUUGGAGCAGGAAGAAGCAGUUUUAUAUCUGGGAAGAGUGUGCACAAUCAAAGGUUU